AGACUCUCGCAGUAAUUGCACCCCUAGUUUUGCAGACUAAGGUUAAUGAGGGCC
rnacentral:tRNA from 1 species